rnacentral:lncRNA from 1 species
GUAAAGGAGGCGGAGCCGUGGUCACCAUCGGGAGGGCCCCAAAGUAACCUCGGGAGGAAAAGCCAAGCGGCGCAAGGCGGCCACCCAGGACGAGCGGCUCCCGCUGCGGGACGGAGACGACAGUCAUAGCGCUAGGAAGCUUGUCGCUCAGCAACGAAGAGAGAAGGAGAAGGUGAAUGAAGCCAGUGAAGAUAGGGUGGCGGCGAUGGAUGCUGCUAGGAGAGCCUGAGAAGAUCGCGGAACAUGACUCGGGCGGUGGCGGCGCAGCAACAAAUAGCCACAGCCCCAGCUCCGAGUGUUGUUAUC